GAAAACAAGUAUAGGUCGCCUUAUGCUGUAUCAUAAAAAACGAAUACCUGAUGGCUUUAUGAUGGUGAUGUGUGAAUAUUAAGUUUACAGGAAGCGCUUGCUAACUCCCUGAGUUAUGUAAAU
rnacentral:lncRNA from 1 species